rnacentral:lncRNA from 10 species
GGGUGACCUAGGAAGGCCUUUGAAAUGUGUUGUAUCAGCUCAGAGGGAAUUAGACCGCAUACGAUGCCACAAAACAUCAAAUAAAUGUAAAACUAUAAAGAUAAUACAUCUAAAAUUAAGAUGUAUUAAUAACUAGGCAUACAAGCUCUCUCUGAAUACAAAGUGUGUAAGAGCUGAUUUCCAAGAUCCUUUGCAAUUAAACGUUAGUACAUGAUGAAAGUUCUUAAGGCUUAGCCUCACUUGCUGCUAAGCCUGCUACCUGAGUUUCUACUAGGCUGUGACCAACUUUUGAACUUGCCACGAUAGCACUAAACUACUGUUAUGCAUCCUACUGAUAAAACUGGACAUGUGGCGCUUAAUACGCCAAACCAGAAUCAUCAAUGUUUGUUAAAGAACUCUCCCGUUACUAUUGUGAUGUCCACUCCGGAAGAUUAUCUGCAUCUGGUUGAGGUUUAGACAGAAGAGAAGCAGUUAACAGACACCGACUGUAUACACAGCGGUCUGCCGGCACACUGCAAAAAAGCCGAUACGCCUUACAGGCUCAGGAAGUUGACUAACCCAGGGAAAAGCCCCAUGCCCUCCUCUAUGAAAGGGAGUGUGUGGUUGGUAGAACCCAAAGUAAACACGGAAAAAUUCAUUCAAGAAUUUCCUUAAGGCCUACCGUGAAGACGUCGGAGGCAAGUUAAGACGUUGGGGAGCAGGAGCAGCAUCACACCUGCGCCUACCAGAGAUGCAAACUGAGGAGACAGAGCCAGUUGGAGAGAAACCAUCAGGAACGUAUUGGUCCCUGUCUGCAACUGAGGCCUUCUGCUUGUUUCUCUCUGCUCCAGUGCCAUCAAAAAGAAAGAAAGAAAGAAAAAGCUACAAACAUGAGUCAAGGCUGUAUAUAGCAGCUCUGGAUCCUAUCCCAGUUGGGUUGACUACUUUGGGCUCAGUGUCUCUUGGCUUUCUUGAGCAAAGACUGACUGUGCCUUCUCUCCAGAGAGUCAAAGCCAUGUAAUGAGCUAAGUAGAAGCAUAACUGAAUGCUUACAGCAUCUACUGCAGGAGUUCAACCAGACGCUGAACAGAACAGCAGUUGACUAACCUGUGAUACUGUUAUCAGAUGAAGACCCCUAGGAAGUCUACAGAUUAGAAUGGAAGGAAGAAUCUGGAUUACAGCUUGGAUCAGAGAAGAAGAGUCUUGGUUUUUAUAUAAUUAAGAGGCAAGAAGUAUGGCAAGCAUGGCAAGGAACUCUUAUUUCCAGUUUAAAGAAGGGGCGGGAGUCUCCCUACUGAGCUCCACUUUUCUUUGGAGGCAAGAGGAGUGGCAUUUGUAACUCUGGGUAAGAGUUGAAAUUACUCACAUAGAAGAAGGAGAUGGGACCGGCAUGGAAACUAAUCAUAAUCCCAAAGAUGAAAGUCAGCUGGGACAGCAUGAUAUGAAGUGCCACAGCAGCCAGAACGUUGAUCAGCAGAGCACUCACCAGGAAGAAGGAACCUGUGGAAGAAGAUGUUAGGUAGAAGGUGAAGUUUCAAGUCCAGGUAAACUGAUAUUGACAAAAGCAAGUUGGUCCUGCCAGCUGCCAUGUUGUGAAUAUGGAGAAGCCAGAAUGGGGAGGAACUCAGGCCUGCCAACAGCUGCAUGAGUGAGCCUGGAAGCAGAUCCUCCAGCCUCAGUAGACCCUUGAGAUAACUGCAAUCUCACGAGAGACCUCGAACCAGAGUGCUGUGCUAGAGUUGGAUUUCAGCCACAGCUUGUUCAUGUUCUUGACCUCUUUUGUGCUAUCCACAACCUGCCCGAUCACAAGCUUCAACCCUGCCUGUUGAGCCUCAGAAAAAUAGAGAAAUGGAGCACAAGUAAUUGUUUACCCUGGGCACGUGGACAAGGUCUGAUACAUUGUCUUUGGAUGAACAGGCUUCAUAUCUUCCUUACCUUGGGGAACUUGCACAAGGCCAACACUUAUACCAGCAAGUGAAGACAAUCUCUUCAACUAAUUGUCCUGGGAAAACAGAAUAUCUACAUGUAAAAGAAUAAAGCUGGACCUUUACCUUACACUAUAUACAAACAUUAAUUCAAAAAGGAUCAAAGACCUAAAUUUAAAAGCUAAAACUAUAAAAUUCAUAGAAGGAAACAUAGAUGAAAAUAUGCAUGAUCUUGGCCCAGAGCGGUGGCUCAUGCCUGUAAUCCCAGCACUUUGUGAGGCCAAAGCAAGCGGAUCACUUGAGGUCAGGAAUUUGAGACCAGCCUGACCAAUUUGAUGAAACCCCGUCUCUACUAAAAAUGCAAAAAUUAGCUGGGUGUGGUGGCGCACACCUGUAAUCCCAGAUACUCGGGAGAUGAGGCAGGAGAAUCGCUUGAACUUGGGAGGUGGAGGUUGCAGUGAGCGGAGAUUGUGCCACUGCAUGGUAGCCUGGGUGACAGUGAGACUUUGCCUCAAAAAGAAAGAAAGAAGGAAAGAAGAAUGGAAGGAAGGAAGGAGAAAAGAAAAGAAAAGAAAAGAUGCAUGAUCUUGUAUGAUCUUGAAUUUGACAAGUUUCUUAAAUAUGGCACCAAAAGUCCAGGCAACAAAAGAAAAUACAGAUAAAUUGGAUUUCAUCAAAAUUAAAAACUCUUCUACAUCAGGUGCGGUGGCUCACGUCUGUAAUCCCAGCACUUUGGGAGGCCGAG